CAUGACGGGCGUAACAGGUACUUGGCAUGCCGUCCGUCAUAGAUUGUGUGACGCUCGUCACACAGUCUUUUUGGCAUGGCUUCAGCUAGCGUUCUUCAGAGUAACUUGGUAAUUUAUUUUUUUAUUAUUUUUUAUUUGUUUUGUUUUGCUUCAGAUUAUUUAAUUUUGCUAUUUAAUUUUCCUGCAUGUCAUUCUACUUUGCAUAAUGAUGCAUAAAUAUAUUGUUCUUUAAUAUGUCAUGUAGGCAGCAACAGUAGAGAGCAUAAUAGAUUACAUAAUAAAAUGAAUAAAUAGCUUCAAUAAAAUAAUCAUAAUGUAACAAUGGAGAAAAACAAAAAUGCGAAAGAGAAACAAAUACGAACAUAAUUUGAAAUAACAUUAAAUAAAUAAUCUAAAUAAUCAUAAUGUAACAAUGGAGAAAAACAAAAAUGCGAAAGAGAAACAAAUACGAACAUAAUUUGAAAUA
rnacentral:lncRNA from 1 species